rnacentral:lncRNA from 1 species
GAAGGAUGUGUUUGCUUCUCCUUCCACCAUGAUUGUAAGUUUCCUGAGGCCUCCCCAGCCAUGCUCAACUGCUGUUCUGAUCAUGAUCAAGCCCAAGACAGAGCGAUGGGCGUGGCUUCCCCAAAGGUGUUUAUGAAUCCAAAAUCUGAGAGAGAGAAGACAAGAUGAAGUCACAGUCUAGUCAUUGCCUCAACACCAGUCAUUCCUACUCCCACCCAGACAACAUCAUCUCCACUCCCAAGCCCGAAAUGCUCCCUGCCAUGCCUUCGAGGCUGAGGUCUGGGAAGAAAACUCUAAGAAGAGAGAAAAGGGCACCAGUAUGGAGACCCUAGAAUAUAAAAAGCAGACUUAGCCUGUCUAACCUGUUCCUUGACUUGGCCAUGAUCCCAGGAAUGGAGGAAGGAUCUUCCUUUUCUUCCUCCUCCUGGAGAGGCAUCAGAGCAUGGGCCCUGGCUCUGUUACUCCCUGGCUGGGGAAGUUACUUACCUACUCCGUGUCUCAGUUUUACUUAUCUCUAAAAGGGGUAGAGUAACAGCACUCACUGGAGUGGAGUGUGGUUAUGCCUCCCAGCCUCUCCUUCAGAACUAGGUUACUUAUUCCCUCAGCUGCAAGGAGUGUUAGCUGCGGACUGCUCACAACGGAGUCUCUUCUAGGGAUUGCCCUCAACCGAAGGAAGCUGCAUUGCCCAAGAUGAGAUCCCCUCGCUGGGGCAUCCUGCAUCCAAUGACAAGUCAGUGGGGCGUACGAAGGCCUGGCUUCCUCAUCUCGAUUGGACAUCUCCAAAGGGCCAUCCCAGUUUCUGAUCUCCCCGUAGAAUCUCCUGAAGCCUCUGUUGUGACUGCAUCAGAGCCCAACCUCUCUCUCUACCCAAUCCAGUCUCCUUUCCUUCUCACAGGUGUUGUUCCCAAAACUCAGUAAACUGCCUACACGCAA